AACGUUUCCCGACUAAAUAUCAGCUGGUAAUUCUGGGCUUUAUUAAUCCCAGGCUAUCAGCUGGUAUACAGUUAUGAUACGUA